rnacentral:rRNA from 1 species
AUCGUUAACGAACGAGACCUUAACCUGCUAACUAGUGGCUACCAUGUUUGGGGCCAAGCAAAGGGCCGGUUUUCUUUCCUUCGCUCUCUUUUGCGAGGGAGGGGAGGAGAGAGGGCGGGUCUUUGGUUCCAAAAGACUUGGUAUCGUUUGUCACUUCUUAGAGGGACUAUUGACGUCUAGUCAAUGGAAGUUUGAGGCAAUAACAGGUCUGUGAUGCCCUUAGGUGUUCUGGGCCGCACGCGCGCUACACUGAUGAAGUCAACAAGUUAAUUUUGAUCCUUGGCCGGAAGGUCUGGGUAAUCUUUUGAAACUUCAUCGUGCUGGGGAUAGUUCAUUGCAAUUAUUGAACUUCAACGAGGAAUUCCUAGUAGGCACAAGUCAUCAGCUUGUGUUGAUUACGCCCCUGCCCUUUGUACACACCGCCCGUCGCUAAUACCGAUUGAAUGGCUAC